rnacentral:sRNA from 1 species
GCACCUAAUGAACAAAAAGAUUCACCUCUUGGAAAACAUAAAAAUGCCGGAAAAUUUCGGGAAACAAAUGAACCGAAUUGUCUCCUCAUUUCUCGGAACGACAGGCGCCCUUGCCACGUUGCAAAAGUUCGAAGAGACGACAAAGCCCGAAGUACCAAUAGAUCAUGAAUAUUAUGCACAGAGAAAAGGUGAGUUCCUCUUCUCCUCGAGAAGUACACCACUUUGGUGUAAAUCGACACUUAGCCCUCUCUAAAUCUUCAUUAAAUUUUCAGAAAUUACGGAUAUGAUACUAAAAGCCGCACGGGGAGCCGAAAUCCAUGAAAAAAUCGAGAAAUACUUUCCGGGUCUCGUUGAGGAUGAUGCGAAUGUACAUUUAUUAAUUCUAUGCCUUCGAUACAUUGAUCUCGCCAAUACACUACACGAACCGCCAAACUGCUUUACGAAUUCCACUACAGGUAGGGCAAAAAAACCCAAAAAAAAAACUAAAAUGUUUUGCAAAGAAAUUUGUAUAUUUUCAGUGACUUUGAAGUUUUUUCUUCCACCUAAUUUUUAAGUUUUGAGCGUCAAAAUUGAUGUAUUUGACCAAUGGUUGCGUACUUUUUAGGUCGGACAACCAUAGGUCAACUCUAGUUGUUCAUUGUUCUAAGCAAUUUUUGACCCGGAAAUUCAAUUUUUUGAGAUAAAAAUGAAGUAAAAAAAAUUGCAGGCCGUUCCCCGUCCCCAACAGAAAUCCGUGCGAGACCACCGAAACUACUAAAAGGAUCUCAAUGUAAGACCACAAAACGGACAAGAGAAGCUCAACGGAGAUCAGCCAACUCUCAAGUACACACACCACCGCCCGUUCGACUAACUAAUGCAAAGUAAAUACUCUGCGGACUUGAUACACCAAAUUUGACAAAAUUUCCAAAUUUUCAGAGCCACCGAGGAGCUGUACCUGAAAGAUGCGAAAAUCGAACGAUUCUACAUAGAUCAGGAUACAGAAGAAGAAAUGCUUCAUAUUGAUGGAGUUUCAAUGCCAACGAAAAUGUUUGUGGAAUUGGAGAAAAGUGGACAAUAUCGAAAGUUGAAUUAUAUUCUGAAAAUGGGCAGAGAAAUUAUGAAAGUUGCCGGAGAGAUGCGCGGGAAUAUUGCUCCAGAAGCACGAAAAGUUGUUGAG